AAAACAGCGAGGAAUUCAUUUUCAUCUAACAACUUGUCGAGCAUCUUCUUGUUAACUUCUUCGAUUUCAUUCUUUAUCUCAAAAACAUCUUGGGAAGUGAGCCAUUGUAAAAUUUUAUCUUCUUGGUUUCAGUACUCGAUAUCUUUACAAAAUCGAUUCCAAAAAGAUCAGCUUCACCGUCGAUCUUCUCCAAUGCUUCCAUAAUUUCGUCGCACUCUGCACAAUCUUCGUCGUCUAUCAUUUGUCGUUAAGGUAUCAAACACACUCACAAAAGAAGACUGCCAGAAAUGGCGACUCGUCCAAUAGUCUCUCUAACAUUCUUUCGUUGACAGAUUCAAUCUCAUCAGCCAAUUCACGAUUUUCAUCAUCGAUCAACCAUUCCAAAACUGACUCCUCGUUUUGGAGAUCUCCUAGAAUAUAUAAGAAAAUUUAUAUUUAACCUCGGCAUUCUAUAGUAUAGGAUGUUAAUAAGAGAAGUAAGGAAAUCGUCAGAGAGAGAGAGAGAGAGAGAGAGAGAGAGAGAAAGAGUGUGCGAGACAGAGAGAGAAAGAGAAAGAGAAAAAGAGAGACCUUCGAACAAAAGAGGAUUGCCAUUACGAAAGUAAACUAGAGCAGGAAAAGUUUUAAUGGAAUAUCUUUUCGCUAGUUGUGGAUCUUGAAUCUUAACCAAGUGUAUACCAAAGACGUCACAUUCGUCGUCGACUCUUUCUAAACCUUCUAAUAUUUCGUCGCAUAUGUGACAGUUUUGCUUGUCUGAAAUAGAUACGAAAAUAUCUUUUGUUUUAUCGUUGAACGCUCAGUUGUAAGUUCAAAGGAAAUCUUACAGAAAUAAACAGCAAGAUACUGUGUUUCUUCAACAAAGGCUUCCAACAUCACUCGAGUUAUCAGUUCAAUGCGAUCCUCAGUUUUCUGUGUGAUCAGCCACUGCAAUACUUCCUCUUCUACGGCCAAGUCUCCUGUAAUAGAAAGUAAGGAAAUUUUGGAAAAUAAGUUGAUAGAAAACUUAUUAUUAGAGGAAUAUAUAAUGCAAACCUUCGAAUACAUUGGGUAUUUGAUUUUCAAAAUAAACGAGGACUGGAAAAUCAGUAACGCCGUAAUCCUCUGCCACUUUGUGAUCCUACAAGUGAUGAACACAAAUCUGUGAUUUUACGUUCAAGAAGAAUUAUGUUCAAAAGUAAAUUAUAGGAUUCCAGUGCAUUGUUCGCAAUUGUCGAGAUCUAAAUAAGAAUAAAAUUAUUGAAACAUAUUUAAUGAUAUUAACGGAAGAUUAAUAUUUCUAAUCGAGGAGAUGAUGGCAUUUUAUUUUCAUUAUAAGAAAAGGAAAAAAAAAAAGAAAGAAAGAAAAUGGAUUAUAUUUUUGACGUUGCUUGCGAUUGUGCAUGCCAUUGAAGAGCUAAGUUAUAUCUACCGUGCAAAGAGAUAUAUAAAUGACUUACAGAAAUAUACGGCCAAGGAUUCGGAUUCUCGAAUUAGAUUCAGAAGUUCUUCUCCAUCCAAAACUUCGAUUGCCUCGCCCGAUGGAUCCUUUUGCGUCAUUAACCAUUGCAAAAUCUGUUCUUCGUCGUAGAGAUCUCCUGCGAUGGCAUACAAAUAGUAUAAGAUUAACAGCAAAUAUCACCGGUUCUUUCGAUGUCAGUUUGAAAAAAAGUAUUCCUGGUAAUGCAAAUACUCCGUAAUGUUUGGCAAGUUCCUUGUCGUCGAUCUUCACAAAUUUGAUUCCGGCACUAUCAGCUUCGUCGUCAAUAUGCUCGAUCUCUGCCAGAACUCUACUACAUUGUUUACAGUCGGUGCUGUCUAAACACACACAUAUAGUGAUCAAAUUGGAUCGGUUAACCAAUCAAGGAUCUCUUCCUCGUCGUCUAUAUCACCAUCGUAAUUCGUACUUUUACCUUUUCGGAAAUAAGUUAUACCAGCAGCUUCGUCGUCGAUCAACUCGACGUGCCGGAGUACUCGAGGACUUUCUGGAUCUUCUUCUUUGUCUGUGAAUAAUACGUUCGAGAAGAAAGGCAGAGGAAUAUGUAUUUAUUGUCUUAACAACGUUCACAAAGAUCAACGUUUGAAUAUAAUGGAAGAAAGAGAAGCCCCAUUUUUUCACAUGCGAACGGUUUGUGUCCCAUAUUAAAUUUUCUUCGAUACCUCUACGACCACGAUUCUACGUCUUGGUAAUUAUUAAAUCACUGUCCAUCGCAAGUUAACGAGUGUUGCUAAAGAUUAAUGGAUUCGGCGAUGCACUUGGACAACGAUUUAAUUUCUCAUCUACUAGCUGUGCCAAUUGAAUUAUUUACCGCUUCCGAAAAAUCCUCUUUUGGCCUUCGAAUGGGAUUGCUUGACUUCGGUAGUUGGACUGCUG